rnacentral:rRNA from 1 species
UACAGAGGGUGCAAGCGUUAAUCGGAGUUACUGGGCGUAAAGGGCGCGUAGGCGGUUAUAUAAGUGAGAUGUGAAAUCCCUGGGCUUAACCUAGGAACUGCAUCUUAAACUGUAUGACUGGAGUAUUGUAGAGGGUAGUGGAAUUUCCGGUGUAGCGGUGAAAUGCGUAGAGAUCGGAAGGAACACCAGUGGCGAAGGCGGCUACCUGGACAAAUACUGACGCUGAGGCGCGAAAGCGUGGGGAUCAAACAGG